rnacentral:rRNA from 1 species
GAUGAACGCUGGCGGCGUGCCUAACACAUGCAAGUAGAACGCUGAAGGAGGAGCUUGCUCUUCUGGAUGAGUUGCGAACGGGUGAGUAACGCGUAGGUAACCUGCCUGGUAGCGGGGGAUAACUAUUGGAAACGAUAGCUAAUACCGCAUGACAACAGUUAUUGCAUGAUAACUGUUUAAAAGGGGCAACUGCUCCACUACCAGAUGGACCUGCGUUGUAUUAGCUAGUUGGUGAGGUAACGGCUCACCAAGGCGACGAUACAUAGCCGACCUGAGAGGGUGAUCGGCCACACUGGGACUGAGACACGGCCCAGACUCCUACGGGAGGCAGCAGUAGGGAAUCUUCGGCAAUGGACGGAAGUCUGACCGAGCAACGCCGCGUGAGUGAAGAAGGUUUUCGGAUCGUAAAGCUCUGUUGUAAGAGAAGAACGAGUGUGAGAGUGGAAAGUUCACACUGUGACGGUAUCUUACCAGAAAGGGACGGCUAACUACGU